rnacentral:rRNA from 1 species
AUUGAACGCUGGCGGCAUGCCUUACACAUGCAAGUCGAACGGCAGCACGGGGGCAACCCCUGGUGGCGAGUGGCGAACGGGUGAGUAACAUAUCGGAACAUACCCUAGAGUGGGGGAUAACGUAGCGAAAGUUACGCUAAUACCGCAUACGAUCUAAGGAUGAAAGUGGGGGAUCUUCGGACCUCAUGCUCAUGGAGUGGCCGAUAUCUGAUUAGCUAGUUGGUGAGGUAAAGGCUCACCAAGGCGACGAUCAGUAGCUGGUUUGAGAGAACGACCAGCCACACUGGAACUGAGACACGGUCCAGACUCCUACGGGAGGCAGCAGUGGGAAUUUUGGACAAGUGGGGGCGACCCUGAUCCAGCAAUGCCGCGUGAGUGAAGAAGGCC